AGAGUUCGAUCCUGGCAGGAGGACGCUGGCGGGCAUGCUUAACACAGCAAGUCGAACGGGAAGUGGUGUUCCAGUGGCGAACGGGUGAUAACGCGUAAGAAGAACCUGCCCUUGGGAGGGGAACAACAACUGGAAACGGUUGCUAAUACCCGUAGGCUGAGGAGCAAAAGAGAAAUCCGCCCAACGUGAGGGGCUCGCGUUGAUAGCUAGUUGUGAGGCACUAGCUAACAAGGCGAUGAUCAUGUGAGCUGGUCCGAGAGGAUGAUCAGCCACACUGGGACUGAGACACGGCCCAGGACUCCUACGGGAGGCAGCAGUGGGGAAUUUUCCGCAAAUGGCGAAAGCCGACGGAGCAAUGCCGCGUGGAGGUGGAAGGCCUACGGGUCGUCAACUUCUUUUCUCGGAGAAGAAACAAUGACGGUAUCUGAGGAAUAAGCAUCGGCUAACUCUGUGCCAGCAGCCGCGGUAAGACAGAGGAUGCAAGCGUUAUCCGGAAUGAUUGGGGUUAAAGAGUCUGGGGUGGCUUUGCAAGUCCGCAGUCAAAUCCCAGGGAUCAACCCUGGACAGGCGGUGGAAAACUUACCAAGCUGGGUAAGGUAGGGGAGAGGGAAUUUCGGUGGAGCGUGACAGCUUGAGAUGAAAGAACACCAAAAGGCGAAGCAACUCUGCUGGGCCGACCACAUGCCACUAGAGACAAGCUAGGGGAGCAAAUGGGAUUAGAGACCCCAGUAGUCCUAGCCGUAAAGAUGGAUACUAGGUGCUGUGCCGACUGAACCCAGUUGCAGUGCUGUAGCAACGCGUAAGUAUCCCGCCUGGGGAGUACGUUCGCAAGAAUGAAACUCAAAGGAAUUGACGGGGGCCCGCACAAGCGGGAGGCAUGUGUUUAAUUCGAUGCAAGCGAGACCUUACCAGGGAUGAGAUGCCGCGAAUCUCUGAAGAGAAGGGGGCCCUCGGGCACGCGGACACAGGUGGUGCAUGGCUGUCGUCAGAUCGGCGUAAGGUGUUGCGGUUAAGUCUCGCAACGAGCGAACCCUCGUGUUUAGUUGCCACUAUGAGUUUGGAAACCUGAACAGGGACGCCGGUGUUAAGCCGGAGGAAGGAGAGGAUGAGGCCAAGUCAUCAUGCCCCUUAUGCCCUGGGCGACACACGUGAUACAUGGGGGGACAAAGGGUCCGCGAUCUAGCGAGGGUGAGCUAACUCCAAAAACCCGUCCUCAGUUCGGAUGCCAGCUGCCAAUCGCUGCAUGAAGCAGGAAUCGCUAGAUCGCCGGUCAGCCAUACGGGGUGAAUCCGUUCCGGGCCUUGUACACACCGCCCGUCACACUAUAGGAGCGGCCAGGUUUGAAGUUCAUUACCUUAACCGUAAGGAGGGGGAUGCCUAAGGAUAGGCUUGCGAGGAGUGAAGUGUAACAAGGUCAGCCGUACUGGAAGGUGGCGCUG
rnacentral:rRNA from 1 species